GCACGUCUCAAUCGACAUCAAAUAAUUGUUAAUAAAUAGUUGUCUAAUAUUUACAUAGUUUUUCAUCCGUACAUAUCUUUAUUACUGAUUUAUAAUGUUUUUCGGAUGGAAGCAAAACUAAAUUACGGAUAAAUAGAGAAUGUGCAAAUUAGUUCAAGAUCAAUAAAUUUAUGUAACUUAUGUUGCUAGUACGGACACCCUAGUAGUCACUUAUUUGCUACUAUUUUCUUAGCCAUAUCAUCCUGAUUCUACCCUUUGUCCCAUCAUAGAAAUUGACACAUCACCCAUGGCUGCAACAGUCUCAACGUGAUGAAGAGCCAAAUCAGUUUCCUCCUCCGUCUUACACAUGACCUUGCUUCCUGUCAUGUCACAAAAGAAGAAAACAGUCCCUUUCUCUGUAAGAUUGAACAGAGUCAAGCCAUAAAAGAAAAUGGACAAGCUGAUUUUUUCAUCAUGAAAUUUUGUGUUUUGAAAUAGUUACUAAAUAUGUAAUGUUUAGUCCAGCAGCCAAAUGGUUAUACCCCAGAGUUGUUUACAUCAUUGCUUCACUCAUGGUUCAGUGCCAUGAUGGCAUAAAAGAUAUCUUAGAAAAAGCCGGAUACAUAGUAAUGCCUAAUUAACAGAUGGUCAAAGCAAUUAUCAAAAAACAUGAAGAGCAGGUUAACCAUUGUUACAUCCCAAAUCUAUGAGAACAUCUGUAAAUAAUUAUCUGUAAUGGGGUGUUUAGAGUACACCUGCUUUGGUUGUACUGGGGUGUGGUCGAGAGUGGAUGUUCGCAUCCAUUUCGAGGCUUCUUGUACAUUGUAUUUUCUCUCUUCUAUAAAAGUAUGCCUUUGGCGUACUCUCAAAAAAAAAAGAAUAUCUGUAAAUUGUAGAAGAAAAUGGCGCAGCUAUGAAAAGAAAACAAAGCUUUAACCUUGGUGUAGUAAAAACUAAAAGGUAACUUAUCCCUACAGUCUAAUAACAGAACAACACAUGAGUAAACAACUUGCUGUUUUCUGUAAAGGGUGAAUUUCAUUGGCAGCAUGUCUGAACUAUCAUAAUAAAAUUAGUCAGGCCUCCUAAAUUUUGUUACUCAAGAAACUAUCUGCAGGUCCCUGAAAUUUUGCUAUGCAUUUUUGGAAGAGAAGAGCACCAUUUCAAAUUCACAAUACUGCGUGAUAGUUUGUUUCUCGAGCCUAAACAAAAGCAAAACUUCCUCUAGACACUUGCUUAAUGUAAGAGCGGAACAAACUUUCAUAAUUUCAAACUGAAGAUUUCAAAGUCAUACACAUGGCAGAUAAUUCAUACUUUAGGAGGAAAUUAGUUUGCCUCCAAAUCCAACAGCAAUCAACAAAAAUACACAUGGAAAAUGGCAUUUAAUAGUACACUGUAAACAGAACACUGAAUGGAUAAUGAUACUAAAAUGUGUUUACAAAGGUCAACAGAAUACAGAUCUUACCAACGAACAAAGAUGAAGUGAUGAACUGACCGGUUUCAGUGAAGUGGCUAAUGUCAUGACCUCGGUUUUCUGCUGAAGCAACUCAUUUUCUCUUUCAGAUAGCUGAACUGCUAAAAUACCCACCUAUGGAAAGUACCAAAAUAUUGAAGUGUUUACAAACAAAGAGAUCAUUUAGGCAUGUAUAUAUAUGUAGGUCGACUGGUGGAGACUUCUUUGAAUAAAAACUCAC
rnacentral:lncRNA from 1 species